GGGAUCGUGUACAUUUCUUCGUUUCUUCUUUGCUGUUUUCAGUGAGUGUUUUGUUUUCUCUUUGUCCUUGAUCUCGACGGUGUUGUCGUGCUCAUUACCUUACUGAGACGUCUCUUGUGACUGUAGCCAGUGUCACGGAGGAUUUUAUUGGCGUGACGAGGUAGAUCGCCGAGAUCGAGUGUGAAAAACGCUCUGCAUUAGUAGCUCCUGUAGAAUGUCUUCUGGGAUGGCGUAUCCAUGGUCAACAAAGCCAAGGUGCAAGACAGCAUAAGAGAUCGUGUAAACGAUGUGAACUCCAAAAGGUAAGCUCCUGAACAAGUGGAAAGAUAUGUGUAUUUACAAGCUCUCUCUUCAUCCAUCGAUUGCCGCUAUGCAUUGCAUUUUGUCUUCACCGAUAAUCUGGACAAAUAAAUUAUAUUGUAACUGGAGAGUGCAAUCGUGCUUGGGACCCAUCCCAAUGUCAUCACAUGGCUUUGGUGACUAGUGUAUACCUGUACCUGGGAGAGGUUUUCCUCAACUGAGACGGAGUGUAGGUGGAUGGAUUAUGAGAAAUGCGAAGAUGUGGAGUUCAAGGCUAGAUGCACUUCACAUUCGGUGUGCGAUCUCGGCGUCUGGGACCUGAUAACGUCUUGGUUGGAUGGGUAAUCAAGGAUGAUACUACUCGGCACACCAAUGUACAUGUCAAUGUAAUUUUUACUUUUUCAAAGCUGCACUAUUUACGGACGAAUGUGUCUGUUAGAGAGGAAAUAAAUAGUAUUCACAAACAAGUCCCACUUAUUGUUUCUGUUCGUAAAAGGAAAUUGCAAUUUUUUGGUCAUAUUGUUCGUUCCGGCUGUUUGUCAUUGACUGUUCUUCAGGGUUGUGUUGCUGGAGGUCGUGGCCGAGGCAGGCCCAGAAUGUCAUGGCUUGAUAAUAUUAUUUCAUGGACUGCACUUGACGUGCAGUCCCUUGCUCGCUGCUGCACGCGAUCGAUUUUUAUGGCGCUCGCUUCAAGCCUUGGUCAUACUUGCUCUGUGACGCCCGACGGCCUUAGGGCUAUGGGCUUGUGAUGAUGACUAUUUACGUCUUGAUGCUUACUUCGGUGCUAGCGUGUUUCCCCCGGAUUAUUUCUAUCAUCAUGCGUGUUCUUGGGCUGAGCGAGCACAUGCACGAGUGUGCAGCUAUAACCCCGUGUAUCUUUGGUUACACUUUGUUCUGCAAUGCAUGUACCUUGUAACAGUAUGUGCUUGCACUGCUUUGUGUGGCCUGCGUAUUUCAGGACUAUUCAGUGCAUUAGACCCAGGUUGGUUUGGUUGCCGGAUGAUCUCUUGUUGCGUCGCUCUGUGUUUUGUAUUCAUCAAUUUUUGGGCUUGAGAAUUGAGCUGGUGUGUGGUUCCCAAUAUCAAAACAUCAUGCUGGUGCUCUGUGUUUCGAUUAUCGACUGUCCGAGCAGUCACGAUUCAUUA